rnacentral:lncRNA from 1 species
AGGCAGCAGCUGUCCAUCCACAUGGAUGCGAAACGCAUGCUCUGCGGCAGAGGGCAGAGCCUGGAGGGCAGCUCCCCCCCUCAGGCUCAUCCCACCCCAGGGAAAGGAGCUUGCUGAGAGAAACCACGAGCCCUUUGGAGCAGGGGGUGCUCUGGGCGGUGUCCGGGGCCGGGGCUGGGGCGGACAUUGGCUCCCCACAGGUGUUUUGAGACUAUGAGGUGCCUCAGGCUUCUCUCAGCAAGCGAGGGCUGAGGAACUUCCUUGGGCCGUGAGCCUUUCUCGCGUCUCCUCUCGCUGGGGAGCAUGCUGUGGGCUGCUUGCUCUUCUUACAGAGCAACCAGCCUGGCCUGGAGAAGCGCCAGACAGCUGUGAGCUGCAGCAGCGCCAGCGUCUUCUCACCGGAGGAAGGCCGGCCAGGUUCCUCUGCCUUUCGUCGUUUUGGGAAGAGCAGCCACCAGGCAGGCCGUGCGUCUCCCCGCCUCGUCGCCGUCAGCACUGGCAGCAGGUGGUUCCUCAGGUGCUGCUACCCACUUUGCCGAGGAAGCACACAAACAGCGAGCGGCAGAUCGGCACUGGGGACACCCGUGUGAUGUGUGCCAUGGAAGCGACAGCAGGAUCCAACCCGCCUGCAAGAGGAUCCAACCCAACAGCCAUGUCCUGGCAGCUGUGUUCUCCUUGAUUCCAGGUGAGGGGAUGUGAACUUGGCAGAGCCUGUGAGCAUUCCCAGGGGACAACCUCGCUCUGCAGUGCCUCUCCUGUGCUCCCUUGGUUUGGGCCAAGGCUCUGAUCUGGUUUAUGAGGGGCUCUGAGGCUCCUCAGACCCUUUCCAGGGGCUGUGCUGCCUGCUCUGGGUGGCCCUGCUUGACCAGGGGUUGGACCAGGUGGCCUCCAGAGGGCCCUGCCAACCUCCACCCCUCAGUGGUGGGGCUGGUUUCUCUCUGUGAGCAGCCAGCCCACUGUGCUGCAGGGCACGGAGAGAGCUGCGCUGCAGUGG